AUUGAACGCUGGCGGCAGGCCUAACACAUGCAAGUCGAGCGGAGCGGCGGACGGGUGAGUAAUGCCUAGGAAUCUGCCUGGUAGUGGGGGAUAACGUCCGGAAACGGGCGCUAAUACCGCAUACUAUCAGAUGAGCCUAGGCCGGAUUAGCUAGUUGGUGGGGUAAAGGCCUACCAAGGCGACGCUCCUUAACUGGUCUGAGAGGAUGAUCAGUCACACUGGAACUGAGAAAUGGCCCAGACUCCUACGGGAGGCAGAAGUGGGGAAUAUUGGACAAUGGGCGAAAGCCUGUUGCAGCCAUGCCGCGUGUGUGAAGAAGGUCUUCGGAUUGUAAAGCACUUUUAGUUGGGAGGCGUUACCAACAGAAUAAGCACCGGCUAACUCCGUGCCAGCAGCCGCGGUAAUUC
rnacentral:rRNA from 1 species